UCAACUGCAGCCAGACUGCAACUCUUACCUGAUUAACCUUCUUCCAAACCCCUUACCUACCCUUUUCUUCUCCUUAUAAAAAGGUCGGCCUGAAAUGAAAUGUUUA